rnacentral:rRNA from 1 species
AGUGAACGCUGGCGGUAGGCCUAACACAUGCAAGUCGAACGGCAGCACAGUAAGAGCUUGCUCUUACGGGUGGCGAGUGGCGGACGGGUGAGGAAUACAUCGGAAUCUACUUUUUCGUGGGGGCUAACGUAGGGAAACUUACGCUACUACCGCAUACGACCUACGGGUGAAAGCAGGGGAGCUUCGGACCUUGCGCGAUUGAAUGAGCCGAUGUCGGAUUAGCUAGUUGGCGGGGUAACGGCCCACCAAGGCUACGAUCCGUAGCUGGUCUGAGAGGAGGAUCAGCAACACUGGAACUGAGACACGGUCCAGACUCCUACGGGAGGCAGAAGUGGGGAAUAUUGGACAAUGGGCGCAAGCCUGAUCCAGCCAUACCGCGUGGGUGAAGAAGGCUUUCGGGUUGUAAAGCCCUUUUGUUGGGAAAGAAAAGCAGCAGGUUAAUACCCCGCUGUUCUGACGGUACCCAAAGAAUAAGCACCGGCUAACUUCGUG